AUUGUUAAUUGGCAUUAAGGUUAAGAAUUACACGUUAAACAAAAAACUAACAACUACAGAUUUCCUGUUACCUCCCUCUCUUUCCAUCUCUUUUGUCUUCAACUCCAAGACCAGUCUCAUCCACACUGACGGUCUGUGAAGAGCGACUUGUCUCCAUCAGCUGGGAACCUUCACCGGUGUCUUUGUGUGUGCGUCUGUCAGCACAGGAGGAGGGUUUCAGGCAUCAUCACUCAGGCAUCCUCUUACUGGGCUCACUGGACUAAAGCCUGGGAACCAGACCAACGAUCGCCACUCCCAUUAAGCAAAUGGACCCAGGAAGGCAGACUGCUGCUGAACUCAAUUACAACCUCCCAUACAGGCAGGCAAAACACAAAGCCAUCAUCUUAAUAACGUGAUGGUGAAGACGGACAGGAUGUUUGCCAGUUGACAGUAAAGCGCAACAAGUAGCGAGACAAGAAGACGACAUGAAACAAAAGUCCCGGACUUCAAAAGAGAACUUAGCUAAAUGAG